UACGUAGGGUGCAGGCGUUUAAUCGGAAUUACUGGGCGUAAAGCGUGCGCAGGCGGUUUGUUAAGACAGAUGUGAAAUCCCCGGGCUUAACCUGGGAACUGCGUUUGUAACUGGCAAGCUAGAGUGUGGCAGAGGGGGGUGGAAUUCCAAGUGUAGCAGUGAAAUGCGUAGAUAUUUGGAGGAACACCAAUGGCGAAGGCAGCCCCCUGGGUUAACACUGACGCUCAGGCACGAAAGCGUGGGGAGCAAACAGG
rnacentral:rRNA from 1 species